GGCGGCUUCGCCAAGGGGUAAGGCAACGGCCUGCAAAGCCGUUAUUCUUCGGUUCAAAUCCGAAAGCCGCCUCCA
rnacentral:tRNA from 1 species